rnacentral:ncRNA from 1 species
UGGUAGAGGUGCUGUUUAUAAUAAGUAAGAAAAGGGAGCUUUUUUUGCAUGGCAUGGAUUUUUUCUGAAAGGUAUGAUAGCCGAAGGAAUAAGGGACGCAAAGACUUAUUUCUGGGUAUGCAUAAAAUAUAUGCAUAACUGUCACAGUAGUGGAGCGCUACAGGG